rnacentral:rRNA from 1 species
GACGAACGCUGGCGGCGUGCUUAACACAUGCAAGUCGAACGGAAAGGCCCUGCUUUUGUGGGGUGCUCGAGUGGCGAACGGGUGAGUAACACGUGAGUAACCUGCCCUUGACUUUGGGAUAACUUCAGGAAACUGGGGCUAAUACCGGAUAGGAGCUCCUGCUGCAUGGUGGGGGUUGGAAAGUUUCGGCGGUUGGGGAUGGACUCGCGGCUUAUCAGCUUGUUGGUGGGGUAGUGGCUUACCAAGGCUUUGACGGGUAGCCGGCCUGAGAGGGUGACCGGCCACAUUGGGACUGAGAUACGACCCGGACUCCUCCGGGAGGCAGCGGUGGGGAAUAUUACACAAGGGGCGGAAGCCUGAUGCAGCAAAGCCGCGUGCGGGAUGACGGGCUUCGGGUUGUAAACCGCUUUCGCCUGUGACGAAGCGUGAGUGACGGUAAUGGGUAAAGAAGCACCGGCUAACUACGUG